rnacentral:misc_RNA from 1 species
GAUGAAGAACGUAGCGAAAUGCGAUAAGUAAUGUGAAUUGCAGAAUUCAGUGAAUCAUCGAAUCUUUGAACGCACAUAGCGCCCGCCAGUAUUCUGGCGGGCAUGCCUGUUCGAGCGUCAUUUCAACCAUCAAGCCCCGGGCUUGUGUUGGGGACCUGCGGCUGCCGCAGGCCCUGAAAUGCAGUGGCGGGCUCGCUGUCACUCCGAGCGUAGUAAUACAUCUCGCUCUGGACGUGCUGCGGGUUCCGGCCGUUAAAAGCCUUAUUUACCCAAGGUUGACCUCGGAUCAGGUAGGAAGACCCGCUGAACUUAAGCAUAUCAAUAAGCGGAGGA